CACGUAGGGCGCAAGCGUUGUCCGGAAUUAUUGGGCGUAAAGAGCUCGUAGGUGGUUUGUUACGUCUGCUGUGAAAUCCUAGGGCUUAACCCUGGGCUUGCAGUGGAUACGGGCAGACUAGAGGUAGGUAGGGGAGAAUGGAAUUCCUGGUGUAGCGGUGAAAUGCGCAGAUAUCAGGAGGAACACCGGUGGCGAAGGCGGGUCUCUGGAACGCAACUGACGCUGAGACGCGAAAGCGUGGGGAGCAAACAGG
rnacentral:rRNA from 1 species